AACGCACCUUGCACUCCUUGGUAUUCCGAGGAGUAUGCCUGUUUGAGUGUCAUGAAAACCUCAACCUCAUAUUUGGUCAUGCUAGAUAUGAAUGUUGGACUUGGGUGUUUGUCAGUGAUGAGCUGACUCACCUUAAAAGCUUUAGCUGGAUCAGUUAUUUGACUUGGUUAUCCUAGGCGUAAUAAGUAUUUCGCUUAGGACACAAGCUUGCUUGUGGCCAUGACUGUGACUUAAGUCUGCUUUCUAUGCCUAUGACUUUAAUUAGUCUAAUCUUGACAUCUGGCCUCAAAUCAGGUAGGACUACCCGCUGAACUUAA
rnacentral:misc_RNA from 1 species